rnacentral:rRNA from 1 species
AUUGAACGCUGGCGGCAUGCCUUACACAUGCAAGUCGAACGGCAGCAUGGGUGCUUGCACCUGAUGGCGAGUGGCGAACGGGUGAGUAAUACAUCGGAACGUACCCGGAAGUGGGGGAUAACGUAGCGAAAGUUACGCUAAUACCGCAUAUUCUGUGAGCAGGAAAGAGGGGGAUCGCAAGACCUCUCGCUUUCGGAGCGGCCGAUGUCAGAUUAGCUAGUUGGUAGGGUAAAAGCCUACCAAGGCGACGAUCUGUAGCGGGUCUGAGAGGAUGAUCCGCCACACUGGGACUGAGACACGGCCCAGACUCCUACGGGAGGCAGCAGUGGGGGAAUUUUGGACAAUGGGGGGCGAACCCCUGAUCCAGCCAUGCCGCGUGAGUGAAGAAGG